GCCGGAGUGAUGGAAUGGCAGACGUGCCUGACUCAAAAUCAGGUGGGGUAACCCGUGCCGGUUCAAGUCCGGCCUCCGGCACCA
rnacentral:tRNA from 1 species